CGAACGCGUCCGAAUUUAUUUCGGACGAGUGGCGAACGGGUUAGUAACACGUAGAUACGCACCUCGAAGUCUCGGAUAGCUUAUUGAAAAAUAAGGUAAUACGAGAUAGUCCCGUAAGGGUAAAGUUUUUCGCUUCGAGAUCGGUCUGCGAUCUAUCAGCUUGUUGGUAAGGUAAAGGCUUACCAAGGCUAUGACGGAUAGGGGACAUGAGAGUGUGAUCCCCAACAAGGGCACUGCGACACGGGCCCU
rnacentral:rRNA from 1 species